GGAAGGAUCAUUAUUGAAUGAACUUGGUUAGGUUGUUGCUGGCUCUUUCGGGAGCAUGUGCACACUUAACACCAAUUUCUUACCACCUGUGCACCUUUUGUAGACUUGGAAUAACUCUCGAGGCAACUCGGUUUUGGAGAUUGCUGUGCGAAGGCUAGCUUUCUCCUAUAUAAUCCAGUCUAUGUUUUUCAUAUACCCCUAUUGUAUGUUCUAAGAAUGUAAUACAAGGGCUUUUAAUUGCCUUUAACCCUAAUACAACUUUCAACAACGGAUCUCUUGGCUCUCGCAUCGAUGAAGAACGCAGCGAAAUGCGAUAAGUAAUGUGAAUUGCAGAAUUCAGUGAAUCAUCGAAUCUUUGAACGCACCUUGCGCUCCUUGGUAUUCCGAGGAGCAUGCCUGUUUGAGUGUCAUGAAAUUCUCAACUUCUUCAGCUUUUUUGUUGAUGAGGAUUGGAUUUUGGGGGUUGCGGGCUUUAUUCAAAAGUUGGCUCUCCUUAAAUACAUUAGCGGAACCUUUGUGGACCAGCUUUGGUGUGAUAAUUAUCUACGCCAUGGCAGUGAAACAGUUUAAUAGGGUUCAGCUCCUAACAGUCUCCUGUAGACAAUUUUCUUGACUAUUUGACCUCAAAUCAGG
rnacentral:rRNA from 1 species